GUGACCUCGCGACGAUGAGUAUUUCGGUACGUAAAGUUCUUUUAUUAGGGAAGAAUAAAUGAUGGAAAAAUCAUUCUGACGGUACCUAAUGAAUAAGCCCCGGCUAACUAUGUGCCAGCAGCCGCGGUAAUACAUAGGGGGCAAGCGUUAUCCGGAAUUAUUGGGCGUAAAGGGUGCGUAGGCGGUUAAAUAAGUUUAUGGUCUAAGUGCAAUGCUCAACAUUGUGAUGCUAUAAAAACUGUUUAGCUAGAGUAAGAUAGAGGCAAGUGGAAUUCCAUGUGUAGUGGUAAAAUGCGUAAAUAUAUGGAGGAACACCAGUAGCGAAGGCGGCUUGCUGGGUCUUUACUGACGCUGAGGCACGAAAGCGUGGGGAGCAAACAGGAUUAGAUACCCUGGUAGUCCACGCCGUAAACGAUGAGUACUAAACGUUGGGUAAAACCAGUGUUGAAGUUAACACAUUAAGUACUCCGCCUGAGUAGUACGUACGCAAGUAUGAAACUUAAAGGAAUUGACGGGACUCCGCACAAGCGGUGGAUCAUGUUGUUUAAUUCGAAGGUACCCGAAAAACCUCACCAGGUCUUGACAUGCUUCUGCAAAGCUGUAGAAGCACAGUGGAGGUUAUCAGUUGCACAGGUGGUGCAUGGUUGUCGUCAGCUCGUGUCGUGAGAUGUUGGGUUAAGUCCCGCAACGAGCGCAACCCUUAUUGUUAGUUACCAGCACGUAAUGGUGGGGACUUUAGCAAGACUGCCAGUGAUGAAUUGGAGGAAGGUGGGGGACGACGUCAAAUCAUCAUGCCCCUUAUGACCUGGGCUACAAACGUGAUACAAUGGCUGUAAGAAAAAAAUUAAAAAAAAA
rnacentral:rRNA from 1 species